UAACUUACACAUGCAAGCAUCCACCCACCCGUGAAAACGCCCUUAAUCCAAUUUUAGGACAAGGAGCUGGUAUCAGGCACAAUAUUUAGCCCAAAACACCUAGCUAUGCCACACCCCCAAGGGUAUUCAGCAGUGAUUAACAUUAAAAAUAAACGCCAGUUUGAUUUAGCUAAUGACAACAGAGCCGGCUAAUCUGGUGCCAGCCGCCGCGGUUACACCAGAUGCUCACAUUGAUAUUAUUCGGCGUAAAGCGUGAUUAAAGAAAAUACCCGCCGGGGUUAAAUUUAAACUGAGUUGUAAAAUACCUGUUCUAAAGAUACCCCAUCCGAAAGACACCCCGAAUCAACAACUUGAACUCACGACAACUAGAACACAAACUGGGAUUAGAUACCCCACUAUGUCUAGCCGUAAACUUUAACUUACCACCACCAUUCGCCAGGGAAUUACGAGCUAAGCUUAAAACCCAAAGGACUUGACGGUGCCCCAUAUCCCCCUAGAGGAGCCUGUCCUAUAAUCGAUAAUCCACGUUAAACCCAACCAUUUUUAGUUUUUCAACCUGUAUACUUCCGUCCCCAGCUCACCGCAUGAGUGAAACAUAGUGAGCCCAAUGACUCCCCGCCAAUACGUCAGGUCAAAGUGCAGUUAAUAAAAUGGACAGAGAUGGGCUACACUUUCUACCUUAGAAAACACGAAAGAUCACAUGAAACACAAUCUGAAGGCGGAUUUAGUAGUAAAAAGAAAUUAGAACAUUCUUUUUAACCCGGCACUGGGGUGUGUACACACCGCCCGUCACCCUCUUCAAAAUAUCAUUUUAGUUCAUAACAAACUUACCACAACUAGAAGAGGCAAGUCGUAACAUGGUAAGUGUACCGGAAGGUGCACUUGGAAUA
rnacentral:ncRNA from 1 species